rnacentral:rRNA from 1 species
UACAGAGGUCUCAAGCGUUUGUUCGGAUUCAUUGGGCGUAAAGGGUGCGUAGGCGGCGCGGUAAGUCGGGUGUGAAAUCUCGGAGCUUAACUCCGAAACUGCAUUCGAUACUGCCGUGCUUGAGGACUGGAGAGGAGACUGGAAUUUACGGUGUAGCGGUGAAAUGCGUAGAUAUCGUAAGGAAGACCAGUGGCGAAGGCGGGUCUCUGGACAGUUCCUGACGCUGAGGCACGGAAGGUCAGGGGAGCAAACGGG